rnacentral:rRNA from 1 species
GUCGACCGGCGCACGGGUGAGUAACGCGUAUCCAACCUUCCCGUCACUGCGGGAUAACCUGCCGAAAGGCAGACUAAUACCGCAUGGCCUUCACUGACGGCAUCAGAGGUGAAGUAAAGCUUUUUAGCGGUGACGGACGGGGAUGCGUCUGAUUAGCUGGUUGGCGGGGCGACGGCCCACCAAGGCUACGAUCAGUAGGGGUUCUGAGAGGAAGGUCCCCCACAUUGGAACUGAGACACGGUCCAAACUCC